GUCAGUGUGGCAUAGUGGUUUGAAUGUUAAACCAUGACUUUGGAGACCAGGGUUUGAUUCCCAGCUUGACC